AUUAUUGGAAGUCUUCAGGAAUUUACACAUUGAUAUACAAAGUAAGUAGGCCAGUUCAUUUGUCUGGGCUCAUGUGCAAUGAUCUUUAAUGCGUAUUAAAAACUUUCUAUUCUCAAGUAAGGAUAAUAUAUAUCUCAGGUCAUUUACAGUCUCAAAGGUUUGUUAGUAUACUUUAAAACAAUCCUGGGAACAGUUCUAGAUUGAAGGAGACUAAAGAAUCAUGAACUCGAGGCAGUGCCGGGGCAGGUGCAGAGCUGGCAAGCGCAUGGUGGAGGCGGUGCCAAUGGGGGCCGCUGAGGCGCACAGAGGUUCGGCGGCUCCCAGGAGACUGUUGCUGGCACGGUCAGGGCAGGAGGUUAGGCAGCAGGAGGCAGCAUGUCGGUUGCGGGGCUGAAGAAGCAGUUCUACAGUGUGAGCCAUCUAGUCAGUGAGAAGGUCGGAGGGGCUGAGGGGACCAAGCUGGACGAUGACUUCAAAGAGAUGGAGAAGAAGGUGGAUGUCAUCAGCAAGGCGGUGACAGAAAUGCUGGCCAGGACCAUCCAGUACCUUCAACCCAACCCAGCCUCGCAGGCUAAGCUGACCAUGCUCAACACGGCGGGCAAGAUACGGAGCCAGGUGAAGAACCCCGGCUACCCGCAGUCGGAGGGGCUCCUGGGUGAGGGCCUGAUCCACCACGGGAAGGAGCUGGGUGACGAGUCCAACUUCAAAGAUGCACUGCUGGAUGCCGGCGAGUCCAUGGAAGCAUCUGGCGGAGGUGAAGGAUUCCCUGGAAAUAGAAGUCAAGUAGAACUUCACUGACCCCGUUCAGAACCUAUGCAAGACAGACCUGAAGGAGAUCCAGCACCACCUGCAGAAGCUGGAGGGUCGCCGCCUGGACUUUGACUAAAAAAAGCAGCAGGGCAAGAUCCCCCAAUGAGGAGCUGCGCCAGGCGCUGGAGAAGUUUGAGGAGUCCAAGGAAGUGGCAGAAACCAGCAUGCACAACUUCCUGGAGACCGACAUUGAGCAGAUGAGUCAACUCCCGGCUCUGGUGGAGGCGCAGCUGGACUACCACCAGCAGGCGGUGCAGAUCCUGGACGAGCUGGCCAAGAAGCUCAAGCGCAGGAUGCAGGAAGCUUCCUUAGACUCCAGCGGAAGUAUAAGCCCGAGCCUCGGAAGCCCUUUGACCUCAGAGAGCCUGAGCAGUCCAAAAGGGGUUUCUCUUGCACCACAGUCCUCAGGAUUGCAGCUUCGUCCUCUUUCCAAUCUUCCGACAAGCCCAUUCGGACUCCUAGCAGGAGCAUGCCGCCCCUAGACCAGCCGAGCUGCAAGGCGCUGUACGACUUCAAGCCCGAGAACGAUGGGGAGCUGGGCUUCCAUGAGGGUGAUGUCUUCACGCUGAUCGACCAGAUCGACGAGAACUGGUAGGAGGGCCUGCUGGAUGGCCAGUCAGACUUCUUCCUGCUCAGCUACGUGGACGUGCUCAUGCCUCUGCCCAGUGACUCACCGGUGCCCCUGCGCUGCCCCUCCAUCCACACUGGGUGGCACCCCCUGCCGGGUCUCCUGCCUUCCACGGGGCCCCUGCUGCCAGGGCGGUGUCCAAGCCUGCCGGUGCCACCCAGGCCCAGGCCCUUGAGGUACUCCCUGAGCAGGGUGCCACACUUGGGCUGCCCAGCUGACAAAGCCAGGCCCACGGAAGCCUGUGUCACUCUGGCACAAGCAGUCACCACCAGCCACCUACACACCCCCCAGCACCCCUCACACGGGACCACAGCCCCAGCCAUGCUGCUGAGGGCCAAGCACAAAGGCUCCAGUAAGCGAAUGUUCAAGCCCCUGGUGGCCAGGCCUCCCCUUGCUGAGCCGCUGCCACCUGUAGGAAGUGGCCCCAGCCUCCUCCUCUAG